ACGCUGGCGGCGUGCUUAACACAUGCAAGUCGAACGCUGAAGCCCAGCUUGCUGGGUGGAUGAGUGGCGAACGGGUGAGUAACACGUGAGUAACCUGCCCUCUUCUUUGGGAUAACGCCCGGAAACGGGUGCUAAUACUGGAUAUUCACUGGCCUUCGCAUGGGGGCUGGUGGAAAGGUUUUUUCUGGUGGGGGAUGGGCUCGCGGCCUAUCAGCUUGUUGGUGGGGUGAUGGCCUACCAAGGCUUUGACGGGUAGCCGGCCUGAGAGGGUGACCGGUCACAUUGGGACUGAGAUACGGCCCAGACUCCUACGGGAGGCAGCAGUGGGGAAUAUUGCACAAUGGGCGAAAGCCUGAUGCAGCGACGCCGCGUGAGGGAUGGAGGCCUUCGGGUUGUAAACCUCUUUCGCUCAUGGUCAAGCCGCAACUGUGGGUUGUGGUGAGGGUAGUGGGUAAAGAAGCGCCGGCUAACUACGUGCCAGCAGCCGCGGUAAUACGUAGGGCGCGAGCGUUGUCCGGAAUUAUUGGGCGUAAAGGGCUUGUAGGCGGUUGGUCGCGUCUGCCGUGAAAUCCUCUGGCUUAACUGGGGGCGUGCGGUGGGUACGGGCUGACUUGAGUGCGGUAGGGGAGACUGGAACUCCUGGUGUAGCGGUGGAAUGCGCAGAUAUCAGGAAGAACACCGGUGGCGAAGGCGGGUCUCUGGGCCGUUACUGACGCUGAGGAGCGAAAGCGUGGGGAGCGAACAGGAUUAGAUACCCUGGUAGUCCACGCUGUAAACGUUGGGCACUAGGUGUGGGGGCCACCCGUGGUUUCUGCGCCGUAGCUAACGCUUUAAGUGCCCCGCCUGGGGAGUACGGCCGCAAGGCUAAAACUCAAAGGAAUUGACGGGGGCCCGCACAAGCGGCGGAGCAU
rnacentral:rRNA from 1 species